rnacentral:rRNA from 1 species
GACAGAGGGGGCAAGCGUUGCUCGGAAUUACUGGGCGUAAAGGGCGCGUAGGCGGGAUGGCAAGUCGGUCGUGAAAUCCUUCGGCUCAACCGAAGAACGUCGAUCGAUACUGCUGUUCUUGAGGGUUGCAGAGGAGACUGGAAUUCCCGGUGUAGCGGUGAAAUGUGUAGAGAUCGGGAGGAGCACCGGUGGCGAAGGCGGGUCUCUGGGCAAUUCCUGACGCUGAGGCGCGAAAGCGUGGGGAGCAAACAGG